CAGAUGGCACCUUCGGAAGGUACCGUGACGCAGAUAGGGCUCCUCUCCCAAGACAUUCACCGCCUUACGACAAUGCUGAGCCAGGACCAGCUGCUGAAUGACUCUCGCCUGCCUGCCCCCAACUCUGAUGACUGGAGAUGACUUUCUUCGUGGCUGAGAGCGUAGGGAGGCAUGUGUGGGGGCCCCGGAGCCUUUGCUUCUGUGGGGAGCGGGCACACAGCCCCCUCUGCAAGCCCAGUCCGGGCUGGCAGGGUGUCUCAGACAGGCUGCUGACAGGCAUGAAGCAGAGCUGUGGGACAGGUGUCCAGGGGUGGCCCCAGGGUCCAUGUGUGUCUUCAACCAUGCUGCGCUCUUCACCGCAGGCUUCAUACCUUUUGUACUUUUAUACGUGGACUGCAGACCACUUUGUGGGAGGGCAGUGACAUAUCAG
rnacentral:lncRNA from 1 species